ACCCGGGGGGCUCAGUCGGUUGAGCAUCCGACUUCGGCUCAGGUCAUGACCUCACGGUUCGUGGGUUCAAGCCCCGCGUCGGGUU
rnacentral:tRNA from 1 species